rfam:Stegodyphus mimosarum contig123311, whole genome shotgun sequence.
GCCUUCGUGGUGUAGUGGUCAGCAGUCUCGACGCGUAACCAAGAGGUUCGAGGUUCGAUUCCCGGCGAAGGCG